rnacentral:rRNA from 1 species
GAUGAACGCUAGCGGCAGGCUUAACACAUGCAAGUCGAGGGGUAUAGUUCUUCGGAACUAGAGACCGGCGCACGGGUGCGUAACGCGUAUGCAAUCUACCUUUGCAGAGGGAUAGCCCAGAGAAAUUUGGAUUAAUACCUCAUAGUAUGUGAGAAUGGCAUCAUUUUCACAUUAAAGUCACAACGGCAAAAGAUGAGCAUGCGUCCCAUUAGCUUGUUGGUAAGGUAACGGCUUACCAAGGCUACGAUGGGUAGGGGUCCUGAGAGGGAGAUCCCCCACACUGGUACUGAGACACGGACCAGACUCCUACGGGAGGCAGCAGUGAGGAAUAUUGGACAAUGGGCGCAAGCCUGAUCCAGCCAUGCCGCGUGCAGGAAGAAGCAUCUAUGGUGUGUAAACUGCUUUUGUACGGGAAGAAACACUCCUACGUGCAGGAGCUUGACGGUACCGUAAGAAUAAGGAUCGGCUAACUCC